UACAGAGGGUGCGAGCGUUGUCCGGAAUCACUGGGCGUAAAGCGCGCGUAGGCGGCCCGAUAAGUCCGUUGUGAAAGUCAAAGGCUCAACCUUUGAAUGCCGAUGGAUACUGUCGGGCUAGAGUCCGGAAGAGGCGAGUGGAAUUCCUGGUGUAGCGGUGGAAUGCGCAGAUAUCAGGAGGAACACCAAUAGCGAAGGCAGCUCGCUGGGACGGUACUGACGCUAAGGCGCGAAAGCGUGGGGAGCGAACAGG
rnacentral:rRNA from 1 species